rnacentral:rRNA from 1 species
AAAAUUAGAGUGUUCAAAGCAGGCAGAUCCAAUUUUCUGCCACCGAAUACAUUAGCAUGGGAUAAUGGAAUAGGACCCUGUCCUCCUAUUUUCAGUUGGUUUUGGCAGCGCGAGGACUAGGGUAAUGAUUAAUAGGGAUAGUUGGGGGCAUUAAUAUUUAAUUGUCAGAGGUGAAAUUCUUGGAUUUAUGAAAGAUUAACUUCUGCGAAAGCAUCUGCCAAGGAUGUUUUCAUUAAUCAAGAACGAAAGUUAGGGGAUCGAAGACGAUCAGAUACCGUCGUAGUCUUAACCAUAAACGAUGCCGACCAGCGAUUAGGAGACGUUGAAUACAAAACACCACCAUCGGCGCGGUCGUCCUUGGCGUGUCUCGGCUUCACGGCCGGGGCGCGCGAGGGCGGUUAGCCCGG